rnacentral:sRNA from 1 species
GUUCUCGUAGGAUAAUUGAAGCUUAACCAAAAAGAGCAAGCAGGAAUUCCUGCUUGCUCUUUUUUUUUAUUU